CAACCAAUCAUGCGGAAGGUGGUCGGGUGUCCUACUGCCGUUGUUUUCUGAGUGUUUCCAGAUUGAACAAUCAUUGAUAGCUAGCAAAUUUGGUACCUUCUUACCAAAAUUCCUGUGUCUUAGAUGUCUCUGAGAUAGUGCUGUGUAAUGUGGCACUUGAAACACCUAGUUUAUAACCCUAGGCCUUUUGUGAACUGUGAGACCUAUGACAAGCUACUAUUUGUGAGCCUGUUUUCUCAGCCCCCGAACAAUAGAUUAUAAUACCACUUUGCAGGACAAUAAGAUUAAAUGGUAUAACUGUGCAAAAUGCUAAGUACAAUGUCUGGCACACAAAAUGAUCCCUUAUAUAUCCCAUUAGUUCACUGAACAGGAUCACCAAGUUCAAAUUCAUUUUUUGUCCAGGUGCAGUGGCUCACAUCUGUAAUCCUAGCACUUUGGGAGUCCUGAGCUAGAGAAUCACUGGAGACCAGGACUGGGUGACCAGCCUGAGCAAAAUUCAACUGAUCGUCUAUAACGCUAAUACUACCAUCCCAUUGAUCUAGAGAGAAUUCCAUACCUUUUCCGGUCUUAGCAAUGGACUGUUCUUAGUGUGGGAGGGGACGAGGUAUUCAACCAGCAGUGCACAGAGGCACCAUUUCUGUAAGAAGCAGACUACCGAUGUGCUGGGUGGUGCCCAAACCCUGGAUGACAUACAGCCCAGAGCUGCCAAUUUGUGUAAUCUGUGGAGUAGUGAAAGGCAAAUCUACUGAAUGCUAAAAAUUGGGGUUUACCACUGAUAUCAGUAGAUUCAUCCAACUGAGUUGCAAACAUGUUUACUUCUUUGAGGUGAGAUUUUACUUGACAUUCUGUAUUUUCAAAAAUCCUUAACAAGCUGAGAAAUUAUAUUAUCUGAACGUAGAAUUUUUAAAAUUUUCUUUUAGUAUUCUUGUCCAAACCCUGUUUUUACAAUUGCACACCAGGCUAGUAAAAUAACAGAUUCUGCAAUUGGAUGAGAUUUCAUUUUCCUAGCUACUAAUUUCUGCAAUUGCGUAACUCCCUCCCUGUGCUUUAUCUGGUAUCAUUGCAUAUUUCACUUGAUCGUAGCCAAAAGGCCGAGAAGUGAUUGUCAUUGCAUAUUUGGUCCAUACUUUAGCUUUUUUUUGUAUUACUGAGUAUGAAUCAUUUGAAAUAUUCCACCAGCUUUUGGGACAAGUGGUAAUGUCUGGAUUGUAAAUGUCUCUUUAAUUUUCUAGGAAUCACAGCUUCAUUUACUAAUGUUUUGCCACAAAUUACGCAUGUGGGACGUGGUGGAUUUUUUUUUACUACGUAUGAAACCAAAUGAUAGACAAUCUUUGUUGUAUUGAUGACUAAUUGUUUUUAAUUUAGUUUCCAAUGUACUGGAUGCAACAAUAUGUGACGCCUUCUAAUUUUUGUUUCUUAUUAAAAAAUCUGUCCAUUUUAAUUGAAUGCUGUAUAAUAAAAAUUAAAUAUGCCAAGUCAAAAAUAAU